AUGUGUGUUCUGAAGGAGAAAGGAGGCUGAGGCUUUCACGAGGUUCAUAGUUUCAAUUUAGCUAUGCUCGUGAAACAAUGUUGGAGACUCAUUGAGAAUUAUGAAUCUCUCUUUGUGAGGGUUUUAAGGUCCAAGUACAACCCAUCUGGAGAUAUCCUAAACUUCCAACUCAAGAAAGGUUCCUCCUAUGUAUGGCAGAGUAUAUGGGCUGGCAUUCAGACUUUCAAAAAGGGUGUAUUUGGCGAGUGGGAAAUGGCAUGA
rnacentral:rRNA from 1 species